UGUCACUCCAAUCAUUCAAUCAGUGCGAUCACUUUAAAUUAAGCACACGACGACGACACGGUCAGUUCUCGGCGUCGGCAACGUCUUGGUGGAAUAUUUGACACGAUGAAUCUCUUCCACCAAUAAAUUCCAUUAGAAGACGUAUACUGCAGAUUUGCCUGGACUUCGGACGUGAUGAAAACUUGGAUGUUAAAAUGAUAUUUCCCAACACACAGAUGAAUCCUUUUAACAGGAGAUGCAUUUUUUCGAAAGAUGUUCACACAUAAGUGGUUUUCUACUAACAACAACUGUUAGACACUGCAUCAUUACAUUUGGCUAAAUUGCGACUCCCUUGUAGGCUUUGCAUCCGCACACAAUAUAUACAUAUCUUAACAAUGUACGGUCUUUGGUUUGUUUGUCCAAUCACAUUCACUGUUGUAUAAUGUAAAACUAAUGAUUACUACAAAUUGUUUAUACGAUUUUAAAGACAAUAAAUGAUGAAUCAUUCGGAA